AAAUCCUCGAGCCAGCAAGAUGGGCUGCAACACCAGCCAGGAGCUGAAGACGAAGGAUGGCGCCGCCAUCGAUGCGGUGAGCAAUGGCGAACCGGAGCCUAGUGCUCCUCCGCUGGAGGGCGAGUCCUCCAAGUCAUCCGCUAGCAAUCAUACGAAUCACGGCAAAUCCAGUUCAAUUAUCUCCAAUGGCGAGGCAAAGGCGGCCAACGGGGGCGCCGCAGUUGGCGGGGGGAGUGGCAAGUCGGAAGCAACAAAUGGCAUUGACCGUCCCUGCGACAAGGCGGCAAUCACGGAGCUCAAUGACGACGAGGACGAAGAACCGGAGGUGGAGAUACUGAUACCACAUCACCAUCAUCAUCAUGGCAGCAAAAAAUUCCAUCGAAAUCCCUUGAAAAAUUUGGAUCUCGAUUUUAAAUUCGAUGUCAAUUCGUUUUAGCCAACAGCAAAUCCCUCGACUGGUAACUAUUGGCAUUUAAUACUUUACCAAAAAAAGCAAUACAUUCACAACACAAACAGCAAAAGCCGCC
rnacentral:misc_RNA from 1 species